AUUGAACGCUGGCGGCAGGCUUAACACAUGCACGUCGAGCGAGCGGCGGACGGGUUAGUGAUGGCUGGGACCCUGCCUGAUGGAGGGGGAUAACUACUGGAAACGGUAGCUAAUACCGCAUACCCUCAGAUGUGCCCAGAUGGGAUUAGCUAGUAGGUGGGGAAAUGGCGCACCUAGGAGACGAUCCCUAGCUGGUCUGAGAGGAUGACCAGCCACACUGGAACUGAGACACGGUCCAGACUCCUACGGUAGGCAGCAGUGGGGAAUAUUGCACAAUGGGCGCAAGCCUGAUGCAGCCAUGCCGCGUGUGUGAAGAAGGCCUUCGGGUUGUAAAGCACGUUCAGCGAGGAGGCGUUACUCGCAGAAGAAGCACCGGCUAACUCCGUGCCAGCAGCCGCGGUAAUUC
rnacentral:rRNA from 1 species